CCACGCUGUAAACGAUGUCGAUUUAGAGGUUGUGGUCUUGAACCGUGGCUUCUGGAGCUAACGCGUUAAAUCGACCGCCUGGGGAGUACGGCCGCAAGGUUAAAACUCAAAUGAAUUGACGGGGGCCCGCACAAGCGGUGGAGCAUGUGGUUUAAUUCGAUGCAACGCGAAGAACCUUACCUACUCUUGACAUCCAGCGAAUCCUUUAGAGAUAGAGGAGUGCCUUCGGGAACGCUGAGACAGGUGCUGCAUGGCUGU
rnacentral:rRNA from 1 species